UCCAGAUUUUAAGGAAAGCAUUAUGAAUUCUUCAGAUGAAGGUGAGAUGUGUUGAUGCAGCUGUCCAUGGCUAACUUGAUAGAGAAAGGAGAAAAACUCAGGAAAUGCAAAGGAAGACUGAUCAGCUGAACAGAAGCCACCUGCCCAGCAGGCUUGCCUGAGGAGUGCGCAGGACCAAAAAGGACCUGGUUUCUCUUUAAAAUCAAGAUGGGCAAAACAUUCAUCUUGCUCACCUGAAGUGAACCAGGGUGGACCCGAGAAGGCAGGCAAAAUCAUGUUGUGACUGCACUAUAUACCUGUAAGCUGCCUACUAGUUUAAAUUAUUUACCAAGUAGCCCAUUCAUUCAUUCUGAACAGCUCAUAAUAAGUGUAAGCAGUCUGUGAUCCAUUAUGGAGAGAGGUUUCUGGAAAGAAUAGAGGCAGUGGUACAAGUUCAAAGUUGUUAAUUAAAGAGAUGAAUGCAACAUACACCAUCUUUUAGCUCUUGAGCAAUGAGUACAGCUGCCAGGACCACAUCUGUCUAUGAAAACUAGAGAGGUUGACAGUGAGGAAUCUCUUUGAAGCUAUCCCAUAACAAGACCUACUGUACGAUGCAGCUUCUGAAACCCUGAGAUCUCAAAGCCUGUCACUGGCUGUCCCACCACUCUCCUCCAGGAUGGCUAGGCCCCAGCCCUUCAAAGACUCACUUCUCAGACUUCAGCAUAAUCAUCUCUACCACACCCUCCAUCUAGCAAGACCUGUAUGUCUUGCCAGAAGGAAAUAACUAUGGAAUUGAGUUCACUGGAUUCUAGAAUCCAG
rnacentral:lncRNA from 1 species